GAUGAACGCUGGCGGCGUGCCUAAUACAUGCAAGUCGAGCGAACAGACGAGGAGCUUGCUCCUCUGACGUUAGCGGCGGACGGGUGAGUAACACGUGGAUAACCUACCUAUAAGACUGGGAUAACUUCGGGAAACCGGAGCUAAUACCGGAUAAUAUAUUGAACCGCAUGGUUCAAUAGUGAAAGACGGUUUUGCUGUCACUUAUAGAUGGAUCCGCGCCGCAUUAGCUAGUUGGUAAGGUAACGGCCUACCAAGGCGACGAUGCGUAGCCGACCUGAGAGGGGGAUCGGCCACACUGGAACUGAGACGCGGUCCAGACUCCUACGGGAGGCAGCAGUAGGGAAUCUUCCGCAAUGGGCGAAAGCCUGACGGAGCAACGCCGCGUGAGUGAUGAAGGUCUUCGGAUCGUAAAACUCUGUUAUUAGGGAAGAACAAAUGUGUAAGUAACUAUGCACGUCUUGACGGUACCUAAUCAGAAAGCCACGGCUAACUACGUG
rnacentral:rRNA from 1 species